rnacentral:ncRNA from 1 species
UGUAAAGAGUCUAUAGGUGUCUUUUCAAGUCCAUCAUCAAAUCUACGGCUCAACCUUGGAUAGACGGUAGAAACUAUCAAGCUGGAGUAUGGUAAGGGCAUAGGGAAUUCCUGGUGGAGUGGUGAAAUGCAUUGAGAUCGGAAAGAACACCAAUGGAGAAAGCACUUUAUUAGGAAAUACACACAUACAAAAGCUACAAGAGCAAAUGGGAUUAGAGACCCUGAUAGUCCUAUCUGAUGGAUACUAGAUGUUGUGCCACUCCACCCAUGCAAGUGUCUACA